rnacentral:rRNA from 1 species
AACGAACGCUGGCGGCAGGCUUAACACAUGCAAGUCGAACGCCCCGCAAGGGAGUGGCGCACGGGUGAGUAACGCGUGGGAAUAUGCCCUUCGGUUCGGAAUAACACAGGGAAACUUGUGCUAAUACCGGAUACGAUCUACGGAUGAAAGAUUUAUCGCCGAGGGAGUAGCCCGCGUAGGAUUAGCUAGUUGGUGAGGUAAUGGCUCACCAAGGCGACGAUCCUUAGCUGGUCUGAGAGGAUGAUCAGCCACACUGGGACUGAGACACGGCCCAGACUCCUACGGGAGGCAGCAGUGGGGGAAUAUUGGACAAUGGGCGAAAGCCUGAUCCAGCCAUGCCGCGUGAGUGAUGAAGGCCUUAGGGUUGUAAAGCUCUUUCGCCAGGGAAGAUAAUGACGGUACCUGGAAAGAAGCCUCGGCUAACUCCGUGCCAGCAGCCGCGGU